GACGAACGCUGGCGGCGUGCUUAACACAUGCAAGUCGAACGGAAAGGCCCUGCUUUUGUGGGGUGCUCGAGUGGCGAACGGGUGAGUAACACGUGAGUAACCUGCCCUUGACUUUGGGAUAACUUCAGGAAACUGGGGCUAAUACCGGAUAGGAGCUCCUGCUGCAUGGUGGGGGUUGGAAAGUUUCGGCGGUUGGGGAUGGACUCGCGGCUUAUCAGCUUGUUGGUGGGGUAGUGGCUUACCAAGGCUUUGACGGGUAGCCGGCCUGAGAGGGUGACCGGCCACAUUGGGACUGAGAUACGACCCAGACUCCUACGGGAGGCAGCAGUGGGGAAUAUUGCACGAUGGGCGGAAGCCUGAUGCAGCAACGCCGCGUGCGGGAUGACGGCCGUCGGGUUGUAACCCGCUUUCGCCUGUGACGAAGCGUGAGUGACGGUAAUGGGUAAAGAAGCACCGGCUAACUACGUG
rnacentral:rRNA from 1 species